rnacentral:rRNA from 1 species
UACGGGGGGGGCAAGCGUUGUUCGGAAUUACUGGGCGUAAAGGGCUCGUAGGUGGCCAACUAAGUCAGACGUGAAAUCCCUCGGCUUAACCGGGGAACUGCGUCCGAUACUGGUUGGCUUGAGUUUGGGAGAGGGAUGCGGAAUUCCAGGUGUAGCGGUGAAAUGCGUAGAUAUCUGGAGGAACACCGGUGGCGAAGGCGGCAUCCUGGACCAAUACUGACGCUGAGGAGCGAAAGCCAGGGGAGCAAACGGG